rnacentral:rRNA from 1 species
GUAAAGGGCGCGCAGGCGGUACCUUAAGUCUGAUGUGAAAGGCCACGGCUCAACCGUGGGAUGGCAUUGGAAACUGGGGUACUUGAGUGCAGGAGAGGAGAGCGGAACUCCCGGUGUAGCGGUGAAAUGCGUAGAGAUCGGGAAGAACACCAGUGGCGAAGGCGGCUCUCUGGCCUGUAACUGACGCUGAGGCGCGAAAGCGUGGGUAGCGAACAGGAUUAGAUACCCUGGUAGUCCACGCCGUAAACGCUGAGUGCUAGGUGUUAGGGGUUUCAAUACCCUUAGUGCCGGAGUUAACACAAUAAGCACUCCGCCUGGGGAGUACGGCCGCAAGGCUGAAACUCAAAGGAAUUGACGGGGGCCCGCACAAGCGGUGGAGCAUGUGGUUUACUUCGAAGCAACGCGAAGCACCUUACCAGGGCUUGACAUCCUCUGACCACCUUGGAGACAAGGUUUUCCCAUUUGGGACAGAGUGACAGGUGGUGCAUGGUUGUCGUCAGCUCGUGUCGUGAGAUGUUGGGUUAAGUCCCGCAACGAGCGCAACCCUUGAACUUAGUUGCCAGCAUUGGGUUGGGCACUCUAAGUUGACUGCCGGUGACAAGCCGGAGGAAGGCGGGGAUGACGUCAAAUCAUCAUGCCCCUUAUGUCCUGGGCGACACACGUGCUACAAUGGCUGGUACAACGGGCAGCGAAGCGGCGACGCGGAGCCAAUCCUAGAAAGCCAGUCUCAGUUCGGAUCGCAGUCUGCAACUCGACUGCGUGAAGCAGGAAUCGCUAGUAAUCGCGGAUCAGCAUGC